rnacentral:rRNA from 1 species
UACGUAGGGGGCAAGCGUUAUCCGGAAUUACUGGGCGUAAAGCGCGCGCAGGCGGUUUGCCAAGUUUGGAGUGACAGUUGUUGGCUCAACCGACAAAGGACUUCAAAAACUGGUGAACUUGAGGACGAGAGAGGAACAUGGAACUCCAGGUGUAGUAGUGAAAUGCGUAGAUAUCUGGAAGAACACCAAUGGCGAAGGCAAUGUUCUGGCUCGUUUCUGACGCUCAGGUGCGAAAGCCAGGGGAGCGAACGGG